GUGGAGGUAUGUGGUUUAAUUCGAAGCAACGCGAAGAACUUACCAGGGCUUGACAUCCCUUGAAGCAGCUAGAGAUAGCUGUGUCCUUCGGGACAAGGAGACAGGUGGUGCAUGGUUGUCGUCAGCUCGUGUCGUGAGAUGUUGGGUUAAGUCCCGCAACGAGCGCAACCCCUGUGGUUAGUUGCCAGCAAGUAGCGUUGGGCACUCUAGCCAGACUGCCGGUGAUAAAUCGGAGGAAGGUGGGGACGACGUCAAAUCAUCAUGCCCUUUAUGUCCUGGGCUACACACGUACUACAAUGGCCGUUACAACGGGAAGCGAAGGAGCAAUCCGGAGCAAAUCCCUUAAAGGCGGUCCCAGUUCAGAUUGUGGGCUGAAACUCGCCCACAUGAAGGCGGAAUUGCUAGUAAUUGCAGAUCAGCAUGCUGCAGUGAAUACGUUCCCGGGCCUU
rnacentral:rRNA from 1 species